CGGGUUGCUCCAGCAGCUAAGGAUUUUUUGCAAUGCACGGAAGUGUGACAAAGCGAGCCAGAGUGUUUCUCUUAGAGAAACUUUUCUCUGCUGUAAAAAUGCAGAGGAAUAAGGACUGGGCAAGACCGGUGCCAGCCGCCGCGGUAAUACCGGCGGUCCAAGUCGCAUCCACUAUUAUUGGGUCUAAAACAUCCGUAGCUUGUUUUGUAAGUCUCUUGUGAAAUCUUAUAUCUCAAGUAUAAGGCGUGCAAGAGAUACUACAUUGCUCGAGACCGGAAGACGUAACGAGUACGAUAAAGGUAAUGGUAAAAUAUGUUAAUCUUUAUCGGACUAACAAUGGCGAAGGCACGUUACGAGUACGGAUCUGACAGUGAGGGAUGAAGGCUAGGGGCGCAAAACGGAUUAGAUACCCCCGUAGUC
rnacentral:rRNA from 1 species